AUUGAACGCUGGCGGCAUGCUUUACACAUGCAAGUCGAACGGUAACAGGGAGCUUGCUUCGCUGACGAGUGGCGAACGGGUGAGUAAUGCGUCGGAACGUGCCGAGUAGUGGGGGAUAACGCAUCGAAAGGUGUGCUAAUACCGCAUACGAACUGCGGUUGAAAGUGGGGGACCUUCGGGCCUCACGCUAUUAGAGCGGCCGACGUCUGAUUAGCUAGUAGGUGAGGUAAAGGCGCACCAAGGCGACGAUCAGUAGCGGGUCUGAGAGGAUGGUCCGCCAGACUGGGACUGAGACACGGCCCAGACUCCUACGGGAGGCAGCAGUGGGGAAUUUUGGACAAUGGGCGCAAGCCUGAUCCAGCCAUGCCGCGUGUCUGAAGAAGGCCUUCGGGUUGUAAAGGACUUUUGUCUGGGAGCAAAUACCCGGUGUUAAUAGCGCCGGGGGUUGAGAGUACCAGAAGAAUAAGCACCGGCUAACUACGUGCCAGCCGCCGCGGUAAAAC
rnacentral:rRNA from 1 species